rnacentral:rRNA from 1 species
CCUACGGGGUGCUGCAGUGGGGAAUAUUGGACAAUGGGCGAAAGCCUGAUCCAGCCAUGCCGCGUGUGUGAAGAAGGCCUUCGGGUUGUAAAGCACUUUCAGUGGGGAAGAAAGCCUUGGGGCUAAUACCCUCGAGGAAGGACAUCACCCACAGAAGAAGCACCGGCUAACUCCGUGCCAGCAGCCGCGGUAAUACGGAGGGUGCGAGCGUUAAUCGGAAUCACUGGGCGUAAAGCGCGCGUAGGCGGUCUGAUAAGCCGGUUGUGAAAGCCCCGGGCUCAACCUGGGAACGGCAUCCGGAACUGUCAGGCUAGAGUGCAGGAGAGGAAGGUAGAAUUCCCGGUGUAGCGGUGAAAUGCGUAGAGAUCGGGAGGAAUACCAGUGGCGAAGGCGGCCUUCUGGACUGACACUGACGCUGAGGUGCGAAAGCGUGGGUAGCAAACAGGAUUAGAUACCCCAGUAGUC